rnacentral:rRNA from 1 species
GACGAACGCUGGCGGCGUGCUUAACACAUGCAAGUCGAACGGAAAGGCCCUGCUUUUGUGGGGUGCUCGAGUGGCGAACGGGUGAGUAACACGUGAGUAACCUGCCCUUGACUUUGGGAUAACUUCAGGAAACUGGGGCUAAUACCGGAUAGGAGCUCCUGCUGCAUGGUGGGGGUUGGAAAGUUUCGGCGGUUGGGGAUGGACUCGCGGCUUAUCAGCUUGGUGGUGGGGUAGUGGCUUACCAAGGCUUUGACGGGUAGCCGGCCUGAGAGGGUGACCGGCCACAUUGGGACUGAGAUACGGCCCAGACUCCUACGGGAGGCAGCAGUGGGGAAUAUUGCACAAGGGGCGGAAGCCUGAUGCAGCAACGCCGCGUGCGGGAUGACGGCCUUCGGGUUGUAAACCGCUUUCGCCUGUGACGAAGCGUGAGUGACGGUAAUGGGUAAAGAAGCACCGGCUAACUACGUG